GCAAGUCGAACGCUUCUUUCCUCCCGAGUGCUUGCACUCAAUUGGAAAGAGGAGUGGCGGACGGGUGAGUAACACGUGGGUAACCUACCCAUCAGAGGGGGAUAACACUUGGAAACAGGUGCUAAUACCGCAUAACAGUUUAUGCCGCAUGGCAUAAGAGUGAAAGGCGCUUUCGGGUGUCGCUGAUGGAUGGACCCGCGGUGCAUUAGCUAGUUGGUGAGGUAACGGCUCACCAAGGCCACGAUGCAUAGCCGACCUGAGAGGGUGAUCGGCCACACUGGGACUGAGACACGGCCCAGACUCCUACGGGAGGCAGCAGUAGGGAAUCUUCGGCAAUGGACGAAAGUCUGACCGAGCAACGCCGCGUGAGUGAAGAAGGUUUUCGGAUCGUAAAACUCUGUUGUUAGAGAAGAACAAGGACGUUAGUAACUGAACGUCCCCUGACGGUAUCUAACCAGAAAGCCACGGCUAACUACGUGCCAGCAGCCGCGGUAAUACGUAGGUGGCAAGCGUUGUCCGGAUUUAUUGGGCGUAAAGCGAGCGCAGGCGGUUUCUUAAGUCUGAUGUGAAAGCCCCCGGCUCAACCGGGGAGGGUCAUUGGAAACUGGGAGACUUGAGUGCAGAAGAGGAGAGUGGAAUUCCAUGUGUAGCGGUGAAAUGCGUAGAUAUAUGGAGGAACACCAGUGGCGAAGGCGGCUCU
rnacentral:rRNA from 1 species